rnacentral:lncRNA from 1 species
CACGACCCUAUCUUUUUUACUUGCCAAAUAUUCUUAGCAUAUUCUGAAGUUUUGAAAAAGGAAGGUUUAAUUAAAUUCUACAUUGUAGAACAGUUUUUCAUCCGAAAGUGCAGAACUACCUUAAAGGAAGCAGGUUUCUGAUUUAGGUAAUGAGAAAGCUGCAGAUAGACGGCAUCGCUCAUUAACUCAUGUCAGGGAAAGGUUGAUCCAUCUGUAUUAGUGUCAACGUUGAAUCAUACAAUUAUUUGUUACUGAUAUUAUAUGUUUAAAAAAAAAAAUGUUUUUGAAUAUAGCUGUACAUUAUAUCUGUUAGAGCUUAAGAAUUUAUCAAGAACUUGCUUGCAUUGGCCACACCAAGCUUUUUAAGGCCAGUUACAUAAAGGGGAAAAAUAAUGAAAAAAAAUGACCCUUUAUACAAUUUUGUUGAGUGAUUAGAGUGAUCCUAAUUAGAAGUAUGAGAGCAGUUUGACUACCAUUUUUUCUAGGCAUCAGUACUGGUGAGGUAGCCAGGAAACAGAUGCUCCUAGGCAUCAGUACUGGUGAGGUAGCCAGGAAACGGAUGUUUCUAGGCAUCAGUACUGGUGAGGUAGCCAGCAAACGGAUGCUCCUAGGCAUCAGUACUGGUGAGGUAGCCAGGAAACGGAUGCUCCUAGGCAUCAGUACUGGUGAGGUAGCCAGGAAACGGAUGCUCCUAGGCAUCAGUACUGGUAAGGUAGCCAGGAAACGGAUGCUCCUAGGCAUCAGUACUGGUGAGGUAGCCAGGAAACGGAUGCUCCUAGGCAUCAGUACUGGUGAAGUAGCCAGGAAACAGAUAUCCCUAGGCAUCAGUACUGGUGAAGUAGUCAGGAAACAGAUGUUAAGCUUUCUCUGCAAUCAAUGAAUUACAAUGCAUUUAAAGUAACUAAAGAAUGAUAUUAUUAUGUGAAAAGAUAAGAGUAUAAGUUUACAUCAUUCAUUUAAAUUUAUUGUGUAUAUAUAUAUAUAUAUAUGUAUAUUCAUCAUGUAUAACAACACCAUAUACAAGACUAAAUUUGAAACUGCUUAUAAACAAGGUGUCUAAUUGUACUCUGUUCUAUUUUUAUACAAUUAUAAAUGGUAAAUGUCUGUUGAUGGACAACAUUACAAGAAUCAAAACAGUGCAAACAUACAGGCAUGAUAAAUACUGUAAAAUCAUUUAAUUUCAUGGGCACAACAUUUCGUGGUUUGGGUCAAAACAGCUAUUCGAUGGGGAUAUAAACUUUGAACAUAUAAAAAUUUGACAUUGUACUGGUUUGGUUGGAUUCAGUUUCCUGGAUUGACUCAACCAUGAUAUCCAGGAAAAGUAGUCCGUACGAAUAUGAACCCUUAUCCUGCUGAAUUUCUAUAAUGAAUUUGGAUAAUACCAUUAACUGUCAAAAUGGGGUUCCUUACCAAAAAGACUCGGAUGUGCAGGCUGAUUAUGAUUUGCACUGUUGGCAAAGACAAAAUCAUUAGUGUCCCCAUGAAUAUUAAUGACUUUACAGUAUAGCAGCUUAUUGAAGAUUCUGCAUGGGUUUUCCUUAUGCGUUGCUAAUUCCUUCAUUUGAUAUAUUAUGUGAUAACAAAUAGAUUUGUGCAUUACAAUACGUGAAUUUGAAGUGGUUUUUUUUUAGUGUAUACUUUUUAUUUUCUUGAUGAUAGGCAAAAUAUUAGAAGAUUCGCAUAAAAUGUUAAGACAAUCAGUGCUCAUAUUUUAGCUAUAAUUUUUUUCUCUUUCAUUUUAUAAGCCAUGUCUUGUGAAGGAAAAAGCAACCAAUUUUAGUUUAUCUUUUAGCAUAAUAGAUAUUCAUCCCAGAUUGAAGUAUUUUUGAAGAGGCUUACAAAAUUUUGAUACAGAAAAAGUCUAUUCCUGUCAUUUGAAAAUCACUGGUUGUUUUCUAGUGUACUAUAAGUACACAACUGUGUAUGAUUGUUAUUUUACAGAUAACCAUUGCUUUACAUUUGAACAUUUUUAUAGGUGAAAAUUUUACGGGUGAGCCCAACUGCUUCACUUUAAGCUUGUGAUAUUAGAAUUUAUUUGUACAUAUUUUAUUCUUACAGCAUUUUUGGAAAAAUAUUUUACCCAUGAAUUCAGAAUUGAAGCUGUAGAUUUCAUUUUAUCAUUUUAGUCCAAGUUAGUGAGUGUUGCUCACUAAUUCUGUUGAUUUUAUUUCAAAAUGUACAUUUUGUCAUGAAUAUAUUGCAUUUUUCAUUAGUGAGAUAUUAAGUGUAAAUGAAAUCAUAUUGUGCUGUUUAAGAAUAUAUACUGUGAAAAUCAAUAAAGGUUAGAAACAUC